UACGGAGGGUGCAAACGUUGCUCGGAAUUAUUGGGCGUAAAGCGUACGUAGGCGGUCCAGCAAGUCGGGUGUGAAAGCCCUCGGCUUAACCGAGGAAGUGCAUUCGAAACUACAGGACUUGAAUACUGGAGAGGAUUGCGGAAUUCCCGGUGUAGAGGUGAAAUUCGUAGAUAUCGGGAGGAACACCAGUGGCGAAGGCGGCAAUCUGGACAGAUAUUGACGCUGAUGUACGAAAGCGUGGGGAGCAAACAGG
rnacentral:rRNA from 1 species